CGAGCACGCGCGUGUGGCAUAUCAAUAAGCGGAGGAAAAGAAACUAACAAGGAUUCCCUUAGUAACGGCGAGUGAAGCGGGAAGAGCUCAAAUUUGAAAUCUUCAAGGUUCUACCUUGACGAAUUGUAGUUUAUAGAAGUGUUUUCUGUUAGUAGAGUGGCAAAAGUUCUUUGGAAUAGGACAUCAUAGAGGGUGAGAAUCCCGUAUUUGGUCAUUCCUUCUAGCGUUGUGAUACACUUUCAAAGAGUCGGAUUGUUUGGGAAUGCAGUCCAAAAUGGGUGGUAAAUUUCAUCUAAAGCUAAAUAUUGGCGAGAGACCGAUAGCGAACAAGUACCGUGAGAGAAAGAUGAAAAGAACUUUGAAAAGAGAGUUAAACAGUACGUGAAAUUGUCAAAAGGGAAGCGUUUGACACCAGUGUUGUUUUUCCGAAAAUCAAUUACGAAUGUUUUAUUUUUGAGGAGUUAUGACUUCAUCGGCUUGCUCCUUUCUUUACGAAACUUUCUUAAUGCACUUUUCGGUUAACAAGUCAACAUCAAUUUCUUUUGUUGUAAAAGGGUAUGAGGAAGGUGGCUUUCUUUUCGGAGAAAGUGUUUAUAGCCUUGUACCUCUGCAAUCGGAGAGAUUGAUGGUCUGCAGCGUAGAUCCUUCGGGGUUAGAUACAGUUUGUGCUAAGUUAUAGCUUUUCAUAGACAACUUGUUGACUAUGUUUAGUCUUGUAGCUUACUCGCUUACGCUAUUUUACCUACGCUUAGGAUGUUGAUGUGAUACUGCGAGCA
rnacentral:rRNA from 1 species